CUCCGGCCUGCACAGACCCCGCCCAGCGCCCCGCCCCUUCCCAUCCGGCCCCGCCCUCCGCCGGCCGGGUGUGGAUCAGCCCGCCGGCUCCCCGCCGCCGCGCCAGCCAUGGUGAACUUGGGCCUGUCCCGGGUGGACGACGCCGUGGCCAGCAAGCACCCGGGACUAGGCGAGUACGCCGCUUGCCAGUCGAACGCUUUCGUGAAGGGCGUUUCCACCUUUGUCACAGGCACCGGUGCAACCUUCGGCCUGCAGAUGCUGGUUCAAAGGAAGCUUCUAUACCCCUUUCAGUGGAAGGUGCUGCUGGCUGUGGGUGGGUACUCCAGCCUGGGACCCCUGAAGUGCACCUCAGUUGCCGCUGGCUCUUCAGCAGAAUCGCAGGCUCAGUGGCCAGCUACUGGGUGACCCGAGUGGAGUCGCAGAAAUGCAGCAACCUCUGGCUCUUCCUGGAGACAGGGCAGCUCCCCAAAGACAUGGGCACAGAUCGGCACAGCUAGGAGAGCUCCAGCCAGGGCACAGAAGACCUGGGGCCAGACAAUUCUAGAACACAGCCCUCGGCACCUCUGCACCCCAGGUUGGCCCUCCCCACACCCGUGGCCCCAGCACACAGGCAUGACCAGGUCUGUUGAACCUGUGCAGACUGCUCCUGCCCAGCCUGGCUGCCCGGGAGCUCAAGCCAGGAGACUCCGUUUCUGGGAUGACUGUCCUGCAGGUGGACACAGCACUGGAGAGGACCAGCAUGCCUCAUGCACCUUUGGGGACAGCCCUGGAGCAGGGAGGGGGCUUCUGCACUCUGCUGCUGACACUCCCUUUCUGACCCCUGCAUCCCCCACCCACCCCAGUCACAGAUGACAGUUCCCCUGGGGGCUGCGGAACUAAUAAACACCUUGUCCUGUUUCCCA